rnacentral:lncRNA from 1 species
CGGAAAGGCCGGCGGGGUGAGGGCCAGGCGGGCGCCGAGCAAAGUAGGGUGGGAGCGUGCCUGGUUGCCAGGUGACAGGAGGGGGAGUUCCUGUUGCUUAGUGACUGGGAGAGGGCCUUGUCAGGUGAAGGGAGGAGAGAACCCUGGUUAUUGACAAGGGGAAGUCUUUCGUUGCUAGGCGACCAGAAGAGACCCUGUUACCCAGAGACGAGAAAGGAGGAGUCCUCCAUUGCUAGCAGGAGCUGAGGAGGGCAUGUCUCAGGCGCCGGAAGCGAGACCAAGAUCACCCUCAGUGUAUCACGAGCGGCAGCGGCUAGAGCUGUGUGCCGUUCAUGCUCUCAACAACGUCCUCCAAGAGCAGCUCUUUAGCCAGGAAGCUGCCGACGAAAUCUGCAAGAGGCUAGCCCCAGAUUCCCGGCUGAACCCCCAUCGCAGUCUCUUGGGCACCGGCAACUAUGAUGUCAACGUGAUCAUGGCUGCCCUGCAGGGCCUGGGCCUGGCCGCUGUGUGGUGGGACAGGACGACACUGGGUGGCCCUGCGCCAGGUGGACGGCAUCUACUAUAAUCUGGACUCAAAGCUACGGGCACCUGAAGCCCUGGGGGGCGAGGAUGGUGUCAGAGCCUUCCUGGCAGCUGCCUUGGCUCAAGGCCUGUGCGAGGUGCUAUUGGUGGUGACCAAGGAGGUGGAG